rnacentral:rRNA from 1 species
UACCAGCUCUCCGAGUGGUAGGGAUGAUUAUUGGGCUUAAAGCGUCCGUAGCCGGCUUAGCAAGUUUCCUGUUAAAUUCAGCGACCUAAUCGUUGAGCCGCAGGAAAUACUACUAGGCUAGGAGGCGGGAGAGGUCGACGGUACUUCUGGGGUAGGGGUGAAAUCCUAUAAUCCCGGGAGGACCACCAGUGGCGAAGGCUGUCGACUAGAACGCGCUCGACGGUGAGGGACGAAAGCUGGGGGAGCGAACCGGAUUAGAUACCCGGGUAGUCCCAGCUGUAAACGAUGCGGGCUAGGUGUUGGGGUGGCUACGUGCCACUUCAGUGCCGCAGGGAAGCCAUUAAGCCCGCCGCCUGGGGAGUACGGCCGCAAGGCUGAAACUUAAAGGAAUUGGCGGGGGAGCACCACAAGGCGUGAAGCUUGCGGUUC